CUGAUCCAGCCAUGCCGCGUGCAGGAAGACGGCCUUAUGGGUUGUAAACUGCUUUUAUACGGGAGCAAUAAGGGUUACGAGUAAUCCGAUGAGAGUACUGUAUGAAUAAGGAUCGGCUAACUCCGUGCCAGCAGCCGCGGUAAUACGGAGGAUCCGAGCGUUAUCCGGAAUUAUUGGGUUUAAAGGGUGCGUAGGCGGCCAUUUAAGUCAGCGGUGAAAUUUUGCAGCUUAACUGUAACAGUGCCGUUGAUACUGUUUGGCUAGGAUUUGGUUGUAGUGUGCGGAAUGUGUGGUGUAGCGGUGAAAUGCUUAGAUAUCACACAGAACACCGAUUGCGAAGGCAGCACACUAAGUCAUUAUUGACGCUGAGGCACGAAAGUGUGGGGAUCAAAGAGGAUUAGAUACCCUGGUAGUCCACACUGUAAACGAUGAUAACUCGCUGUCGGCGAUACACAGUCGGUGGCCAAGCGAAAGCAUUAAGUUAUCCACCUGGGGAGUACGACCGCAAGGUUGAAACUCAAAGGAAUUGACGGGGGCCCGCACAAGCGGAGGAACAUGUGGUUUAAUUCGAUGAUACGCGAGGAACCUUACCCGGGCUCGAACGGUGCAUGAAUAUACGAGAGAUUGUAUAGUCCUUCGGGACAUGUAUCGAGGUGCUGCAUGGUUGUCGUCAGCUCGUGCCGUGAGGUGUCGGCUUAAGUGCCAUAACGAGCGCAACCCUCGUCAUUAGUUGCCAUCAGGUCAAGCUGGGGACUUUAAUGAGACUGCCACCGUAAGGUGUGAGGAAGGGGGGGAGGACGUCAAAUCAGCACGGCCCUUAUGUCCGGGGGGACACACGUGUUACAAUGGGAGGUACAGAGGGCAGCUAUCCGGUGACGGAAUGAUAAUCUCCAAAACCUCUCUCAGUUCGGAUUGGAGUGUGCAACUCGACUCCAUGAAGGUGGAUUCGCUAGUAAUCGCGCAUCAGCCAUGGCGCGGUGAAUAAAAUCCCGGGCCUUGUACACACCGCC
rnacentral:rRNA from 1 species